GAUGAACGCUGGCGGCGUGCUUAAUACAUGCAAGUCGAACGGAGACAUUAGCAAUAAUGUUUUAGUGGCGAACGGGUGAGUAACGCGUUGGUGACCUGCCCCGAAGAGAGGGAUAACAGUUCGAAAGGAUUGCUAAUACCCCAUGUGGUUGUUUGGAUUAGAUGCCUUACAACUAAACGGAUUUAUUCGCUUCGGGAGGGGCCUGCGUCCCAUCAGCUAGUUGGUAGGGUAAUGGCCUACCAAGGCUAUGACGGGUAGGGGACCUGAGAGGGUGGCCCCCCACAAUGGAACUGAAACACGGUCCAUACACCUACGGGUGGCAGCAGUAGGGAAUAUUGGUUAAUCUGCGAAAGCGGGAACCAGCAACGCCGCGUGCACGAUGAAGGCCUUCGGGUUGUAAAGUGCUUUUUGAGAGGAUGAGGAAGGACAGUACUCUUAGAAUAAGCUUCGGCUAACUACGUGCCAGCCGCCGCCGUAACAC
rnacentral:rRNA from 1 species